rnacentral:misc_RNA from 1 species
GCUGUCGCAAUUGCCACGAGUAAUCGAUAAAAAAAUCCCUACAAAACACUUAAUCAAAGCCGCCUAACAACUGGCGUCUCCUCCCACCUUGUACGAGCUUAGAAACGCCACGCUGAAAGAUUAUACAGCACAUUAAAAGGCACACCCUGUUUCAACGGAACGUACCCAGAUAUCGAGCAAAGAUUACCGGUUGCGUCGAUUCAAUGUUUCUUUUUCACUGGGAACGAUUCCACAAGCGAGCGGACGAUCAACCGUGGCUACGAUAAUUCGAAAAUUGAACAGCAGUUCUCUUAUCUGUCGCGCAUUGCGUUUGCCGAGCAACGAGUUUCCAUAAUUUUCGAUAACCAUGGGCCGAUAAGCUACCGAGGAUCCAUCGUUCGUGCUAUCUAUCGCUACUAUCUAAUAUGAGAUGGCAACGCGAGGCGAAAAGGGGCGGAAAAAUCAGGAAUAAACCGACGUGGUGAAAUUACGGCGUAGCAGCCGGUGGAACGCUGACGCUGUUAUCCUUCGCUGUUUACUCGAUGAAAAUCGUGAGAUGCCUCGCCUCCGCUACCUGGAAAUACCUCGC